AUUGAACGCUGGCGGCAUGCCUUACACAUGCAAGUCGAACGGUAACGGGCCUUCGGGUGCCGACGAGUGGCAAACGGGUGAGUAAUGUAUCGGAACGUACCUUUCAGUGGGGGAUAACGUAGCGAAAGUUACGCUAAUACCGCAUAUUCUGUGAGCAGGAAAGCAGGGGAUCGCAAGACCUUGCGCUGAUUGAGCGGCCGAUAUCAGAUUAGCUAGUUGGUGAGGUAAAGGCUCACCAAGGCGACGAUCUGUAGCGGGUCUGAGAGGAUGAUCCGACACACUGGCACUGAUACACGGUCCAGACUCCUACGGGAGGCAGCUGUGGGGAAUUUUGGACAAUGGGGGCAACCCUGAUCCAGCCAUGCCGCGUGAGUGAAGAAGGCCUUCGGGUUGUAAAGCUCUUUCGGCCGGGAAGAAAUCGUAUGGGUUAAUACCCUGUGCGGAUGACGGUACCGGCAUAAGAAGCACCGGCUAACUACGUGCCAGCCGCCGCGGUAAUAC
rnacentral:rRNA from 1 species